UACAGAGGUCUCAAGCGUUGUUCGGAUUCAUUGGGCGUAAAGGGUGCGUAGGUGGCGCGCUAAGUCAGGUGUGAAAUUUCGGAGCUUAACUCCGAAACUGCAUUUGAUACUGGCGUGCUUGAGGACUGGAGAGGAGACUGGAAUUCAUGGUGUAGCAGUGAAAUGCGUAGAGAUCAUGAGGAAGACCAGUGGCGAAGGCGGGUCUCUGGACAGUUCCUGACACUGAGGCACGAAAGCCAGGGGAGCAAACGGG
rnacentral:rRNA from 1 species